UUAAAGAUGUAUCAUAUGCUCUGUGGAGUGGUGGCAGUUCUAUACCGCUGGGAGGUCCACACCGGGACAUCUUACCCAUUCGAUAUGAUUAUUUACCUUGAGGAUAUUAAGUGUUUUUCCCAAUUAUCAACAUUAAUAUUAAAGAUUGUCCCUGUUGUGCCAACGCACAGAAUUCACUAUUCACAACUUUGAGAGUUUGUUUUUCAAAACUUGCAGAGAAAAAAGGUACAACCUUAAAACUGAUCAUUUAAUCCGAAAUAACAUAUGCGAUAUACCUAUUACUAAAUGAUUAUUCUCCUGUCCCAGGAG